AACAGAGGGGAAGGAUGGUGGUUAAGCUGCUAGCCUGGGACCCAGGAGAUCUGAGUUCACUUCUUUGCCCUACCACACAUGUGCUGUGAGAUUGUGAACAAGUCCCUCGUGGCCAGAUCCUCAAAGCAUCCUUUGAAUAUCCUCCAGAGCCCACACUCAUUCUGAACACUCUCGAAGGAAAUUAAAGAACGCCACCCGACUGGACCCUCUGGCCACACCCUCUGGAAACAGCUAGUGCUGGGUCAAAAAUGACCAAUCCAAGACACGGAAUGUGUUUUACAUUUCAAGCUCUUCUUAUGCUGACCUGAAUGUAAGAAAGGAGAGGGCAGGACUCACAGUGACUAAAGAACUCUCCUAGCGAAUCUCAAAUCGCCAAUCCUACGAAGCCUUUUCCAUGACGUUAAACAUCUUCCACUUUACUCCUCACCUCUACAAGGCUGUUUCGCUCCCUUUCUGAGCACAUAUGUAACUGAAAAGUAACAUUAUUCCUUGCUACGAAGUUUAGUUAGCAGCUGUGAUGUUGCUUUUUAAUGACAUCACUCAUACAUUAUGAAUGAGGAAUUUGAAGAGCAGAAAAAAAAAGGCAGCGUGAAUAAUCGUUAACUGUUCAGCUGCUUGAGGAGGUUUGUAUAGCAAGUAAUAAAUCCUCCAGCCUUCUUGUUUGUAAGAACAAGUUGG